rnacentral:rRNA from 1 species
GAUGAACGCUGACAGAAUGCUUAACACAUGCAAGUCUACUUGAACUUCGGUUUGGGUGGCGGACGGGUGAGUAACGCGUAAAGAACUUGCCUCACAGUUAGGGACAACAUUUGGAAACGAAUGCUAAUACCUGAUAUUAUGAUUUUAGGGCAUCCUAGGAUUAUGAAAGCUAUAUGUGCUGUGAGAGAGCUUUGCGUCCCAUUAGCUAGUUGGAGAGGUAACGGCUCACCAAGGCGAUGAUGGGUAGCCGGCCUGGGAGGGUGAACGGCCACAAGGGGACUGAGACACGGCCCUUACUCCUACGGGAGGCAGCAGUGGGGAAUAUUGGACAAUGGACCAAAAGGCUGAUCCAGCAAUUCUGUGUGCACGAUGACGUUUUUCGGAAUGUAAAGUGCUUUCAGUUGGGAAGAAAAAAAUGACGGUACCAACAGAAGAAGUGACGGCUAAAUACGUG